rnacentral:rRNA from 1 species
UGGGGAAUUUUGCGCAAUGGGGGAAACCCUGACGCAGCAACGCCGCGUGGAGGAUGAAGUCCCUUGGGACGUAAACUCCUUUCGACCAAGACGAUAAUGACGGUACUGGUGGAAGAAGCACCGGCUAACUCUGUGCCAGCAGCCGCGGUAAUACAGAGGGUGCGAGCGUUGUUCGGAAUUAUUGGGCGUAAAGGGCGCGUAGGCGGUGCGGUAAGUCACCUGUGAAAUCUCCCGGCUCAACUGGGAGCCUGCAGGCGAAACUGCCGUGCUGGAGUAUGGGAGGGGUGCGUGGAAUUCCCGGUGUAGCGGUGAAAAUGCGUAGAUAUCGGGAGGAACACCUGUGGCGAAAAGCGGCGCACUGGACCAUUAACUGACGCUGAGGCGCGAAAGCUAGGGGAGCAAAACA